UACAGAGGUCUCAAGCGUUGUUCGGAUUCAUUGGGCGUAAAGGGUGCGUAGGCGGCGCGGUAAGUCGGGUGUGAAAUCCCUCGGCUUAACCGGGGAACUGCGCUUGAUACUGGAUGGCUUGAGAUUGGGAGAGGGAUGCGGAAUUCCAGGUGUAGCGGUGAAAUGCGUAGAUAUCUGGAGGAACACCGGUAGCGAAGGCGGCAUCCUGGACCAACACUGACGCUGAGGAGCGAAAGCCAGGGGAGCAAACGGG
rnacentral:rRNA from 1 species